rnacentral:rRNA from 1 species
UACGAAGGGGGCUAGCGUUGCUCGGAAUCACUGGGCGUAAAGGGUGCGUAGGCGGGUCUUUAAGUCAGGGGUGAAAUCCCGGAGCUCAACUCCGGAACUGCCUUUGAUACUGGCGAUCUUGAGAUCGGAAGAGGUGAGUGGAAUUCCCAGUGUAGAGGUGAAAUUCGUAGAUAUUGGGAAGAACACCAGUGGCGAAGGCGGCUCACUGGUCCGAUACUGACGCUGAGGUGCGAAAGCGUGGGGAGCAAACAGG